GACGAACGCUGGCGGCGUGCUUAACACAUGCAAGUCGAACGGAAAGGCCUGCUUUCCCUUGUGGAUUGCGGGUACUCGAGUGGCAACGGGGGAGGAACACGGGAGUGAUCUUCCCCCAAACUGGGUAUAAGCCUGGGAAAACGGGGCUAAUUUCCGAUAGGACUGCAGGGGGGUGCCUGUGGUGGAAAACGAUUUUUUAGUGGUUGGGGGUGAGCUUUCGGCCUAUCAGCUUGUUGGUGGGGUAAUGGCCUACCAAGGCGGCGACGGGUAGCCGGCCUGAGAGGGUGGACGGCCACAUUGGGACUGAGAUACGGCCCAGACUCCUACGGGAGGCAGCAGUGGGGAAUAUUGCACAAUGGGCGGAAGCCUGAUGCAGCGACGCCGCGUGGGGGAUGACGGCCUUCGGGUUGUAAACUCCUUUCGACCGCGAGGAAGCCACCUGGUUGGAAGGGUGGUGACGGUAGUGGUAGAAGAAGCACCGGCUAACUACGUG
rnacentral:rRNA from 1 species